CUCACUCAAGUGGACCCUCUCACAGUGGUGAAGAUCUGUCCUGAAAGUACUCAAUGUUUUCAUCUUUGGGCAGAAAAGCAGCUGAAAUCAUUUCUAGGAUUCCACCUCUCCAGGUAUCAUGAUGAUUAAGUAAAGUGUCAUUGUCCAUACAUAUCAACAAAGAGAAAGACAUUUCCCUUCUUGCUUUAAUUUUUAAUUCUUGGGGCUCUCAAGCUGAAGUCAUUCCUAAUUUAGAGCUUGGUGGUUCCCAUAGAUGAAGAUCACUUAAAUAUGAACACAUGUGACCAUGAGUGAAUGUCAGCUAAAACAAUGAACAAAGAUCUAGAUUUUUCAAGGACUUCAGUUAUUAAAUUAGACACAAUGAGAAAGUGGAUUUCUGCAAGCCAGGAGUAGCGUUCUCACCAAAAACCGACCACACUGGCACCCUGACCAGUCUCCCAGGCUCCAGAAUUAGGAGUCCUGAGCGAAUGCGUGGUUUGUCACAUAUUAGGCAGGAAAAUGUUCACUGAAGCCCUGCAGGGCCCCUGGCGUCCACUGGUCCAGGGCAAAGGUGUAUUAUUGUUCUUCAACACGCGUGCAUCAGCGGGAACGGCCCCUUCUAAGGGAAACAGUGUGUGACUGGAAAACCUCUCAAAGCAAAGACUUGCCAAUUGGAGUUAAAGACUGGGAGACUGAAGGCAUCCAUCAAGCCACACCAAAGAUCCC